rnacentral:tRNA from 1 species
GCGUACUGAAGACUGAGCGGUCGGUCACUAGCCUUCCAAGCUAGCGCCCUUAAUCGGGAUAGGGUUCGACUCCCUCUGUACGCUCCA